rnacentral:rRNA from 1 species
AGCGAACGCUGGCGGCAGGCCUAACACAUGCAAGUCGAACGAACUCUUCGGAGUUAGUGGCGGACGGGUGAGUAACACGUGGGAACGUGCCUUUAGGUUCGGAAUAACUCAGGGAAACUUGUGCUAAUACCGAAUGUGCCCUUCGGGGGAAAGAUUUAUCGCCUUUAGAGCGGCCCGCGUCUGAUUAGCUAGUUGGUGAGGUAAAGGCUCACCAAGGCGACGAUCAGUAGCUGGUCUGAGAGGAUGAUCAGCCACAUUGGGACUGAGACACGGCCCAAACUCCUACGGGAGGCAGCAGUGGGGUAUCUUGCGCAAUGGGCGAAAGCCUGACGCAGCCAUGCCGCGUGAAUGAUGAAGGUCUUAGGAUUGUAAAAUUCUUUCACCGGGGACGAUAAUGACGGUACCCGGAGAAGAAGCCCCGGCUAACUUCGUG